rnacentral:rRNA from 1 species
AGAGUUUGAUCCUGGCUCAGAACGAACGCUGGCGGCGUGCCUAACACAUGCAAGUCGCACGGAGUGAAGGAGCUUGCUCUUUCAUUUAGUGGCGCACGGGUGAGUAACGCGUAGAUAAUCUGCCUUAGACUCUGGGAUAACAUCUCGAAAGGGGUGCUAAUACCUGAUAAGCCCACGAUGGCGAAAGUCGUUGCGGGAAAAGGGGCCUCUGAAUAUGCUCUUGAUCUAAGAUGAGUCUGCGUACCAUUAGCUAGUUGGUAGGGUAAGAGCCUACCAAGGCGACGAUGGUUAGCUGGUCUGAGAGGAUGAUCAGCCACACUGGAACUGAGACACGGUC